CGCGGCGGGGCGGCGGCCUGCGGGCGCGGAGCGGCGCGGAGCUGGGCGCGGCGGGGCGCGCAGGUGCGUGUGGCGGCGGCGGGUCGGUUCGGGUGCGGGGCUAUGCAGCAUGGCCGAGCCGCCCGGCGCCCCGCACCGCACCACUGGCUCCACCUUGCUGCACCCGCUGAGCGGGCUGCUGGGCAUCCCGCUGGACCAGAUCAAUUUUGUAGCCUGUCAACUGUUUGCACUUCUGGCUGCGUUUUGGUUUCGUAUUUACUUGGGUCCCAGUCAUGCCAGCUCUGCUGUUCGCCAUGCCUUUGCCACCCUCUUUGGAAUAUACUUUGCUGUCUUCUGCUUUGGGUGGUAUUCCAUUCAUCUUUUUGUCCUGGUGAUGAUGAACUAUGGCAUUAUGAAUAUGGCGAGUAUUCCCAACAUCCACAGGUACUCCUUUGUCGUAGCUAUGGGAUACCUCACGUUGUGCCACAUAAGCCGAAUUUACAUAUUUCAUUAUGGUAUUCUCACUACAGAUUUUUCCGGAGGAUUAUGCUGUCCACUGAUGAUAAUUACACAGAAGAUCACAACACUUGCAUGCCAGUUACAUGAUGGAAUAGGGCGACAAGCUGAGGAGCUCACUGCUGAGCAGAAUCGGCUUGCUGUAAAGUCAAGACCUUCUUUACUGGAGUAUUUAAGCUAUCUCCUCAAUUUUAUGAGCAUCAUAGCUGGGCCUUGCAGCAAUUACAAGGAUUAUAUAGCCUUCAUUGAAGGGAGGCAUGUGCACAUGAAACUGUUAGAAGUGAACUGGAAGCAGAAGGGUUAUGACAGACUUCCUGAUCCUUCUCCAACUGGAGCAGUGAUGUAUAAGCUGUGUAUCACACUAGUAUCUCUCAUUUUAUUCUUAACACUAACCAAGAACUUUCCUAUGGCAUAUAUUAUUGAUAAUGAAUUUCUUGAUAAAACACCCUUCUUGUCAAGACUUGGUUACCUGUAUGUUGUAACACAGGCAGCAAAACCAAAGUAUUACUUUGCAUGGACGCUAGCAGAUGCAGUCAACAAUGCAGCUGGUUAUGGAUUCAGUGGAGUUGAUGAGAGAGGCACUUUCCGCUGGGACCUGUUGUCCAAUUUGAAUAUUUGGAACAUCGAGACUGCGACAAGUUUUAAAAUGUACAUUGAAAACUGGAACAUUCAGACAGCUGCCUGGCUAAAACGUGUCUGCUAUGACAGAGCUCCCUGGUACCCUACAGCUUUAACAUUUAUCCUGUCGGCCCUGUGGCAUGGUAUCUAUCCUGGAUAUUAUUUUACGUUUCUCACUGGAAUCCUUAUCACACUCGCAGCCAGAGCAAUAAGAAACAAUUUUAGACAUUACUUCCUCUCGUCAGUGCCCCUCAAGAUAGCCUACGACGCUGUCACCUGGGUUGUCACUCAACUGGCAGUGUGCUAUACUGUUGCACCAUUUGUUAUGCUGGCUGUUGAGCCCGCUAUUAAGUUUUACAGUUGAGUCUCGACCAUUAACUGUGGCCAAGGUUGGAGAGGUUAAGAAACAUGUGAGUUGGCAGUAGGAAGGACUUGAUGAGAAAUGACCAGGUUUCCAACUGCUGAAUGCAUAGAACAGGAGGUCAGCAGGAGGUAAAGAAGGUGCCUGACAGAGCAUUACUUCUUGAAAUGAGUCUAUGUAUUUUCACAUGCACAUUCUAAGUGUCCUGGUGUUGCUCUUGUUGCCAAUCAGACCUCAAGCUCACUCCAUAAGAAAGGCUCAGAAUCAGGCCAUGCUGAACUCCAUUGCAAGAAAAGACAAAUGAUGCCUCCAAAGAAAAUUGCCAACAUUGAAAAAUCAAGCUGUCAUAUUGGAAACAAACAAAGAAGAAGAAAACUGAGUGGGAUGAGGGUCAAAGUACAAGACAAGUGGCAUUUCUAUUGCUUAUCUUAAAAUCUUACUGGACAGGGCAGAAAAGAGCCUGAAUGACUAUAUUUCAAAUUAUUCCAGUUAACAGAGAUUUUACAGGCAAUGUUUACAGGCUCCUUGGGCAUUUCGACUUUUUUAAUAAAUAUUUUUAUGAAGUGUUUUUAUAUAUUUAAACUUUUUCACAGAGGAAUUUUUGCUCUUUUACAGAAAUAUGCAACUAUUAAUCAAUAAAUAAUCCGUGAUUAGAAGACAGGAAGCAGCUAGUAAAGAGUUAGACCAGCUGCCUGAUAGCCUGGUGCUAUGGGCAGCUGGGAGGGGAAGCUUUUCAUCUCUUGGCUAUGGAAAGAGAAGAUGCAAGUAGAAAACUACAGACAUGGGGUUGUUCUAGAUGCUGGCAGUGACUUCUGCCCUGGCAGGGAGAAGGAGGAGCAGGGCUUUCCUAGGCAGUCUUCAGAGCAGGGACUGCAGCCUGAGCUUGGUAGCAAGGGUAUUUCACAUCCUUCAAUGUGAUGCCUGCUGGCAAUGAAGGCAAGACAAGUCCCUUGGGAAUAGGUGUUGGGGAACACUGGCAACUGGCUAAGCCAAAAUCUAAAACCAAAUAAAAACAAAACAAAAGGCAGAGGGGAACCCAACCUAGAGUGAAAGAAGGGUCAUAUGCCCUGUGAUCUGCAGAGUUAUGCUUCUCUAACGAUGCAGCUGAUGCUCAUUGCUACACCAGCCUUACUUUGCAGUUUCAGCAUGAUGCAGCACUUCCAUUUUGGUAUCAAAAUAACUGAGGAGCUAUGCAGGUUUAGUGUUUUAAAACUCAAAAUUAUGGGUUAAAUCUGGAGAAGGUUUGUAAUGGACCAGACUGUUCUACUCAGAAACAUCCCAUCUUAUGGAGUGGUUACUUUCCAGCAGGAUAACACUAAUUUGAAACCUGAACAGUAAAUUAUCAUAGUCAUAAUAAAUCAUUGUCUACAAAAUAUGUGAUAUGAUAUGAUCAUCACAAAAGCCAAGACCAAGUCCCUAUAUGAUCUUAACACGUGCCUUGGCCUGUUCAUGCAGGUUUUCUUGCUUGUAAAGUCCUUGGCUGACAGAGAUGUUUUAAGGCUUUAGUUUCUAAGAGCUUGUUGUGCAUUGAGAUAAACUGCUGCAAAAUGCUGUGUCAGGGGUUUUUAUUUAAUUUUUUAAAAAUCCACUUACCCCAAUAAAACAAACCGUUAUGAUACAUCAAAACCAACUAAAACAUGUUUUAAAAUUACUGUUUUCCAGGAAUGUUUUUAUUAGGAUUUUGUAGAAGCAAUUCUCUUGUUAAAGUAUUGGUAUGACCAUUGCUUUAUGGUCAUUUAAUUGACAUGUGAUUUCACAAAGAAUCUGCUGUUUUCUGCAUUCUGAUUUUUGUGUCAGAUUAAAAUUUUGCAGAAUCCUAAUAUUUUGGGAAGAAAAAAAAUCAGUGAAAUCAAAAAAAGUUCCAAAACAAAGUCGAUUUUUUUUUUUUAAUUUUUUUUUUUUCUCUUUUGUGGGGAGAAUUUUUUGUCAUGUGACCACCUCAUAACUUAGAGCAUAGCUCAUGGAAGGGUAUAUUUGGUAAUAUAUUUUGAGGGCGAUGUGGGAUUAAAAGGUUGAUCUGAAUAAACAAAUUGCUGUGUGU